GAUUUCUCCAGUCCUUAGAGCUCGCUGUCUGUCUGGCUCUUUUACUUUUUAACUUCCAGGACUCGAACUCACAGCCAUGUCUUCUGAAGAAGGAAAGCACUUUGUGGGAGGGCUCAACUUUAACACCGAUGAGCAGGCACUGGAAGACCACUUCAGCAGCUUUGGCCCUAUUUCUGAGGUGGUUGUUGUCAAGGACUGGGAGACUCAGUGAUCCUGGGGUUUUGGCUUCAUCACCUUCACCAACCCAGAGCAUGCCUCAGAUGCCAUGAGAGCCAUGAAUGGAGAGUCCCUGGACGGUCGCCAGAUCCGUGUUGACCAUGCAGGCAAGUCUGCCCGGGGAACCAGAGGGGGUACUUUUGGGGCCCGUGGUCGUGGCUACUCUAGAGGUGGUGGGGACCAAGGCUAUGGGAGUGGCAGAUAUGACAGCCGACCUGGAGGAUAUGGAUAUGGAUAUGGACGGUCCAGAGACUAUGGUGGCAGAAACCAGGGUGGUUAUGACCGCUACUCAGGAGGAAAUUACAGAGACAAUUAUGACAACUGAGAUGAGACAUGCACACAUAAUGUAGAUACACAAGGAAUAACACUUCUGAUCCAGGAUCGUCCUUCCAAAAUGGCUGUAUUUAUAAAAGAUUUUUGGAGCUGCACUGAAACAUCUGUUUUUAUUACACCAACUUCUAUUUUUCAAUUGCGCUCCCAAGGUAGCUUAUUAAAGACCUUUUAGAAAGCUCCAUGUGUUUUUAAAAUUUUUCUCUCCCAUUUAAAGACAAA